CCACGAGGGCUCAACUGUCUCCUUCCUCCAAUCAAUGAAAUUGAUCUUCUCGUGAAGAAGCGAGAAUAUUAUUAUUAGACGAGAAGACCCCAUGGAGCUUUAAACUUAUUACCAAUUACUUAACCGCUAAACCAUAAUAUGUAGUAAAAAUGUUCUUAAUAGUUUUCGGCUGGGGUGGCCCUGGAGUAAAAUAAACCCUCCAGAAUGAACGGAAUAAGACCCUAAUCUAAGAAUUACAGCUCAAAGAAUCAAAAAACUGACAUUAUUGAUCCAAUUAAUUGAUUAACGAAACAAGUUACCCUGGGGAUAACAGCGCAAUCCAUUUUGAGAGCCCCUAUCAACAAAUGGGUUUACGACCUCGAUGUUGGAUCGGGGUAUCCCGGUGGCGCAGCCGCUACUAAUGGUUCGUUUGUUCAACGAUUAACAACCCCACGUGAUCUGAU
rnacentral:rRNA from 1 species